rfam:Candidatus Nealsonbacteria bacterium RBG_13_37_56 RBG_13_scaffold_7160, whole genome shotgun sequence.
GUCCCUGUAGUUCAACGGAUAGAACAAGACACUCCUAACGUCUAGAUGGAAGUUCGAUUCUUCCCGGGGACA